ensembl:snRNA U2 U2 spliceosomal RNA
AUUGCUUCUCGGCCUUUUGGCUAAGAUCAAGUGUAGUACUACUGUGUUCACAGUAUAAUCAUUAUCCUUAACUUAC